GACUGAAAGAGCAAAAAUGUUGGGCCCGGUAUAAACAUAUAGGCCUGGUUUUACAGACAGGGCUUAGACUAAGCCAGGAUUAGGCCAUAGUUCAAUUAAGACAUCUGAGUAAUUUUUAUUAACAUGCCUUAGAAAAAAACAUUACUGGUGUGCAUCUUGAGACAAAGGCACUGAUAUAUUAUAAGAUCAGUCAGUGCAAGUUUCUUUCAGUUAAAACAGCUCAGAUUUACACUUUAGUCUGGGACUAGGCUUAAGCCUUGUCUGUGAAACCAGGGGAUAGGCUUCACGGACAUUUCUUAGCUUGAGCCAGGACUAUGUGUCACAGGUCGGGGGGGCCAAGCCGGACUGCACCCGCCCCUGAAACCCAGGAUCACCUCAGAGAGCGUACCAGAAGAACCAGACGGACGAAAGUAUAAAAAAAUUGAACAAGGUUUUACUUGGUUAAAAGCAAUUUAAAAGUUCAGUGUUCCUUCAGUGUCUCCCGACCAGAACGAAGCCAGACCUCGGACGCCGGGGAGGCGUGGAGUCGUCGGCAGUUCGUGCCUGUACGGGGCCGGCAAGAGCCAGGAUAGUCUGUCACCCGUCCCGGAAUGAGGGGGGGAUAUCCGGGGACAUCACAUGCAGCGUCCAGCCCAGAGGAUCCUGCAAUCUCUUUUCAUAGGGACAUCACAUGCAGCAUUCGUCCCAGGGGAUCCUACGAUCUGCACAGCAGAGUAAGUAAUCAACAGUAAGUAUGCGUUCUUGAAUAAGUAAUGGGGCUUACGGCUGGGAGAUGCUUCGGUUGUAACCAGGAAAAGAAAUGAUCC
ensembl:lncRNA